UGGGGCGUGGCCAAGAGGUAAGGCACCGGAUUUUGGUUCCGGGAUCGGAGGUUCGAAUCCUCCCGCCCCAGCCA
rnacentral:tRNA from 1 species